GCGGAUAUAGCUCAGUGGAAGAGUGUAAUUUUGCCAAGAUUGAUGUCAUGAGUUCAAAUCUCAUUAUCUGCU
rnacentral:tRNA from 1 species